rnacentral:tRNA from 1 species
CGGGGCGUGGCUCAGCGGCUAGAGCGCAUGGUUCGGGACCAUGAGGCCGACGGUUCAAAUCCGUCCGCCCCGACCA